rnacentral:misc_RNA from 1 species
GAUGAAGAACGCAGCGAAAUGCGAUAAGUAAUGUGAAUUGCAGAAUUCAGUGAAUCAUCGAAUCUUUGAACGCACAUUGCGCCCGCCAGUAUUCUGGCGGGCAUGCCUGUUCGAGCGUCAUUUCAACCAUCAAGCCCCCGGCUUGUGUUGGGGACCUGCGGCUGCCGCAGGCCCUGAAAACCAGUGGCGGGCUCGCUAGUCACUCCGAGCGUAGUAAUACAUCUCGCUCAGGGCGUGCUGCGGGUUCCGGCCGUUAAAAAGCCUUAUUUACCCAAGGUUGACCUCGGAUCAGGUAGGAAGACCCGCUGAACUUAAGCAUAUCAAUAAGGAGGA